rnacentral:rRNA from 1 species
AGGACGAACGCUGGCGGCGUGCUUAACACAUGCAAGUCGAGCGGAAAGGCCUUUCGGGGUACUCGAGCGGCGAACGGGUGAGUAACACGUGAGUAAUCUGCCCAUCGCUUCAGGAUAGCCAUCGGAAGCGGUGAUUAAUACUGGAUAUGACAUUCCUUCGCAUGUUGGGGUGUGGAAAGUUUUUUCGGCGGUGGAUGUGCUCGCGGCCUAUCAGCUUGUUGGUGGGGUAAUGGCCUACCAAGGCUUUGACGGGUAGCCGGCCUGAGAGGGUGACCGGCCACACUGGGACUGAGACACGGCCCAGACUCCUACGGGAGCAGCAGGUGGGAAUACUGGACAGUGGGCGGUAAGCCUGAUCCAGCAACGCCGCGUGAGGAGUCGACGGUCCGUUCGGGUUGUACGGUACCCUUCGUUU